GCAAAUGGACGCAUAUUGUGUGGGCCAAACCUACACAAAAUUGACGCAACUUUUGUCAGACUAGCCGACGCAAAACAGACGCAUUUGCGACAGUUUAUGCAUGGACCAAACCGACGCAAAUUAAUAAAAUCGUGUAAGACUUUGCGUGGGCCAUCCCACGCAAAAACUGAUGUAUACAUUUUUUAAUAUAAAAAAAUAAAACUUUGCGUGGGUCAAAAGUCGAUGAAUGAAUUGAAGGAAAAAAAACCUUUAUUUUUUUUUCAAGCCAAUUUUAACCUAUAAACAAUAAAUACCAACAAAAUCACAUUCAAAAUUUAACAUAACAAAUUAGUAUCAUUCAUACCACACUCACAAUACAAAAAUAAUUCAAAUAAACAUCAUUUAGAUAAUUUGAUCAUCCAAAUAUUGAAAGUGGAUAUGAAUACUUAAAAUUAAAGUUGUACUUUACAAUUGAAGUAAAAGUACUAAAGAACUUUAAGGGACAGAGCAAUAAAAUUAAUUAAAAAAUUCUGAAAAGUUUAAAACUUUACUUGUCUAAGAUGACCUUCGUGAAGUAGGAACCAAGACAGAGGCGAUAAAGAAGGCUGAACCUAAAAUGAAAAAUAAGAAAAAGCUUAGAAGAUGAUAAUGACUAACACGUUCACAUAGCAAUAUUCACAGACCAACACAAUCCAAAAAGAGCACCAGCCCAAUAGAGAGCACCAAAGCAAUAAAAUUAAUUAAUUUUUUUUGAAAAGUUUAAAACUUUACCUGUCUAAGUUGACCUUCGUGAAGAAGGAGGCGGAGCAUGACAGAGGCAGUGAACAAGGCUGAACCUGAAAUAAAAAAUAAGGAAAAAACUUAGAGGGGGAACGAAAAUGGAGAAGAAGCAAAAAAGGAAGAUCAAAAUAGAAAAAGAGAAAACAACCAGUGCACAAUGUCGGAACAGUGACGACGACAUGGGGUAGUGGACGACAGCGACAAGCGUAGGAGUGCUAAUGGCGACGACAACAAGCAUAGGAACGCUGACGGUGACGAUGACAAGCGUAGGAGCGCUAACGACAACAAUACAUUGCAACGGAACAAUGGAGUGCAGCGGUGGAGUACAGUGGCGAAAUGCAGCGAUAAAGUGUAGCGACGAACACUGGAGGUAGAGUGAAAGGGAGGGAAAUAAAUUUAGGUUUUUCAAUUUGAGAUUUGGGGAAAACCUUGAGUGGGACAAUAGGGUGAAACUUUU
rnacentral:lncRNA from 1 species